AUGAAACAACAUUGUGGGGAGGGAAGCAUUAGGGCAGCGCGGGGCAGAGGGAGCGCGGAGGGGGCACGCAGCUCACCCCGGCCCGCAGCCCUGCACCUGUCUGCGAGCUCCAUAGCGGGCGGAGGGGGAGCGGAGCGGAGGUUUUCACGGUCGUUCUGUUGCUGUAACCACCAUGGAUGUGAACGUUGUGGUGAGAACGGCUUGCUAUUUUCUCAUACUGGAUUCCUCAAAUCCAAGAGCUACUCAGCAGUUUCCAAGGCAACCACCUGUGGAAUAAUUAAAAAGGAUGGAGUGUUAGUGUGCCAGAUGCACGGAAUUCUUGCCUGGAGAGAGCACUUCGUUUUCAGCUGUCUUGAAGAAUCAAAUGUGAUUCUGCCAGCACAUUUAAGAUGUUUAUUUAAAGCUGCUGGUUCCUCCUCAGCACCAAAACUUGGAGAUAAAGAGCAAGGUGCCAGCGGGUCCCUCUGCAAGGGAAUGAGUGUUCCACUGUUCAGUUUUCUCACAGUGGCCUGGAGAAAUCUGUAAGAUUCUGAAAGGGAAUGGAUGAGCUGCUUCUACCUACUGACAUUAAAGGCAAUUCAGAAACACAGUUACCCUGUCUGGAAGCGAUGCGGAGAGAUUAACACUAAACUGCCCAGAGGUGAACAAGGAGCAAAGCUGUAUCCUGAGUUGAGACAGAAGAUCUCUUUUCCCUACUAAGGAAUAUUAUCAAGCGCUGGAGAAAAAGCAAGCAUGGAUGUUGUGGUGGCAGAUGCAGCACUGUGGGAGAGCAG
rnacentral:lncRNA from 1 species